AUUCUUUUGGGUUCAUAAGUGUGCUGACUGGGUGUCCGUGCUGUUGUCUGAAAUAUGGUGCCCUCUAAACUUUAUUAUGACUUCCCUACAUUACCCAUCUGAUG
rnacentral:snoRNA from 1 species